rnacentral:rRNA from 1 species
UACAGAGGGGGCAAGCGUUAUUCGGAAUUAUUGGGCGUAAAGGGCGCGUAGGCGGCCACCGCAAGUCGACUGUGAAAUCUCCGGGCUUAACUCGGAAAGGUCAGCCGAUACUGCGGGGCUAGAGUGCAGAAGGGGCAACUGGAAUUCUCGGUGUAGCGGUGAAAUGCGCAGAGAUCGGGAGGAACACCCGUAGCGAAGGCGGCACUCUGGGCCGGUACUGACGCUGAGGAGCGAAAGCGUGGGGAGCAAACAGG